rnacentral:rRNA from 1 species
GAAGACGGCCAUAGUAAGCAGGAAACACCCGUUCCCAUCUCGAACACGGAAGUUAAGCUGCUUACGUUAUAAGCUGUACUGGCUUCGGCCGGGAAACUUAUAAGUUGUCUUCU